rnacentral:rRNA from 1 species
GACGAACGCUGGCGGCGUGCCUAAUACAUGCAAGUAGAACGCUGAAGCUUGGUGCUUGCACCGAGCGGAUGAGUUGCGAACGGGUGAGUAACGCGUAGGUAACCUGCCUGGUAGCGGGGGAUAACUAUUGGAAACGAUAGCUAAUACCGCAUAAGAGUAGAUGUUGCAUGACAUUUGCUUAAAAGGUGCAAUUGCAUCACUACCAGAUGGACCUGCGUUGUAUUAGCUAGUUGGUGAGGUAACGGCUCACCAAGGCAACGAUACAUAGCCGACCUGAGAGGGUGAUCGGCCACACUGGGACUGAGACACGGCCCAGACUCCUACGGGAGGCAGCAGUAGGGAAUCUUCGGCAAUGGACGGAAGUCUGACCGAGCAACGCCGCGUGAGUGAAGAAAGGUUUUUCGGGAUCGUAAAAGCUCUGUUGUAAAGAGAAAGAAACGAAGUGUG